GUACUGGUGUGUGCAAGCAAGAGAUCUGCAGCUCCAGGGCUGGUGGUGAGUGUGAGAAUGGGUCCCGAAAGUGAAGACAUCGUGGGGGAGGAGAUGGGAAGAGAGAAAGGAAUCUUUCCCAAUGAAUUCCCAGUGUCCACCACUGGAGUGCUGUUUGUCUGUGCCUUGGGAUACAAGGUGUUUUUCAACUACUGAUGCUGGUGGAAUCCCUGUGCCAUCUCUCCAGAAACAGCUUCCUGCUACCCGAAUUGUCUUCUGCAAGGAUGGGUUGGAGGUGCGCAGCAUGAAAGCCAAACAGAACACGGUCAGCUACUCUGUGCUGCUGAGCAUCACUGAGGGAAGCAGUGGGACAUAUAAGUGUUUGUACGAGCAGAGGAACAAGGAAAACUGGCAGAGGAGCUCUGUCCUCAGUGCCCCCCGGGACCUGCAUGUCACAGGCAACGUGUCCAGCUCCAUGGAAGGUACAGCAACUGCUGGUGAGGCUUUCCCCUUUAUUCCUGCUGUCCCCAUCCAUUCCAAUCUUCCCCUUCACUCUCCUUUGUCCCCAUCCUGUCAUUACAUCCCCAACACACCCCAAUGUCCACAUCACCCCCCUCGGACUCCUCCACACUCCAUCAACCCCAAGCUCUCUGUCCCCAUCCCUGCACUCUGUCCCCAGACCCCAACAACCAGCAGGCCUCCACAGUCACUGCAGUGGUAUUGGUGACUGUCACCCUCCUCCUUUCUGCAGCAACCUUCUGGACCAUCAAGAAAGGUGAGGGCUUGUGGGAAGCGGGAGGGAUCCAUGAGGUUGUCACAGCUCUGAUGUGGGACACUUCUUCUUGCAGGUGCCUGCAGGGAGAGAUGCCAAAGGUGAGCAGGAAUGGUCUGGUGAGGACUGGGGGAUUUAGGUGCAGCUGAGACUCUGUGCAGGGCAGCAUGGUCUGUGGGUUCCCCAAGAUAGGAUAAGGAAUUUUCCUGGAGUUUUCAUGGGGAAGAGAGUGUUUCCUCAUGGGAAUAUUUCCAACAGAACCUAGGCACCUUGUGGACGAGAGAUUGCCAUGGGGUUGGAUCGAACGCAGUGCCCAAUGCAAGGAGGCAUCAUUCAGUGAAUAUCAGUUCUGGCCCCUCCCCAGCAAACACACACCCCAAAUCCAUUUCCCUUUCCUCCCCAGGCAGCAGCACGUUCC
rnacentral:lncRNA from 1 species